rnacentral:rRNA from 1 species
UACGAAGGGGGCUAGCGUUGUUCGGAAUUACUGGGCGUAAAGCGCACGUAGGCGGAUACUUAAGUUAGGGGUGAAAUCCCAGGGCUCAACCCUGGAACUGCCUUUAAUACUGGGUAUCUUGAGUUCGAGAGAGGUGAGUGGAAUUCCGAGUGUAGAGGUGAAAUUCGUAGAUAUUCGGAGGAACACCAGUGGCGAAGGCGGCUCACUGGACCAUAACUGACGCUGAUGCACGAAAGCUGGGGGAGCAAACAGG